CCGCCCCACGUUCCAGUCCCACCCCCGCUCGCCAGCGCGCCCCGCUGCACCGGGAGGUUCCAGCGCGCCCCACAGCUCCCGGGCGUCUCCACUGCGCUCCCCGAGCCCGGCACAUCGCGCCCUCUCCGCGGCCCGCCAGGAGUCGGGUGCCCCAGACCCUCCAACUGUUGCCCUUGCUCUCUGGAAACAGGUUCCUCCACGUGCCUGCUCGGAGCGCAGCGACCAGGGCGCAAGACCUGUGCGGACUUUUGUUGGACCUAUCCCUGAAGCGAUGCUUUUUUGCGCGGCUUGUGAGGGGUCUCACUCAGGCCUGGGUUGCCUAGGCAGGGGCCGUCCGUCCCUGAAGCCAUUAUCCUCUCUGUCAGGGAAAAGACAACUCUAACCCCCACCCCUGUUCCCUGGAUACUCUCCACUUGGACCUCCACCAUGGCAGAGAAAAGUGGUAGGUACCACCGGCCGCCUCUCCAGCCGGCGCUGAAGAGCCUACUGGACAAGAGAGGGUGCGGGCAGCUGAGUCUGGGAUGGUCAGGCAUCAUCUCAGCAGGAUCUCAGCAGUGCGGUCCGCACCAAUAGAGCAGCGCCACGGACAAUGCCGACAUAGACCCUGCCUAGGCAAGCAGAAGGCUCACACAUCUUUUAGCUUCUUAAAACUGUCUUUAAUAUUUAAAAUUACAGUAUAAUUCUAUCAUUUCUCCCUUUCCUUUCCUCCCUCCAACCUCUCCCGAAUACUACUCUCUUUUCUCUUUCAAAUUCAUGGUCUUUCUCUCUCUCUUUUUAAUUGUUGUUACCUGCACGUGUGUAUAUACACAUACAUCCCUAACCAUUACCCGCUCAGCUGUAUAAUUUGUAUUUUUUUCCUCAGAGCUGACCAUUUGGUACUGGAGAGCCAAUUGGCGUGCUCUUCCCUGGACUCGUCUAUUAUUUUAUUUUUUCGACUACGAAGUUAUGGAGGACUCCCUUUACAAUCUAAUCACAAGCUUUAGCCACUGUUGAGCCUCCUUCACUGACCUUCCUGGAUGCCUGGGGUCUCAGAAAACACUUUGAAAUAGGCAGAUUCCACCAAAGAGUGCUGCACACCUGGAUCUCCAGCUACUUGGGAGUCCCAAGCAGAAGACCAGGAGUCUAGACCCUGAUCAACCGAGCAAGAACAUCUUACACUCAGGUCACCCAUCCCCUGACGAUGGCCAGAGCUGUCCAGACAAGGGUGUAUAGAAAGAGAGGAAUUAUAGAGCUUCUAGCACAAGGGGCUCCUUAGGGAGAAUCUGUUGUUGCAUGGUCAAGGCAAUGGCUGCUGGCUCUUCAUCCAGGGCAGGAAGGCAUGUUGCUCUCCCCAUGCAGUGCUGAGCAGGACAGUUGGAAGGUUGGAAAUUCUGCCUCCCCAGGCAGCCUCAGAAGUCACCAACUCAGUUUAUGCAUGGAUAGCAAGGCCCUAUGUGGCACAGAAAAAUCACAGAGAGCAUGGUGUUCUGGACAGCUCACUAGUCACAUGAUUAUCAUUGUCAAAGACCUGCAGUCUUCUUGGCCUUAGACUUGGAUGUCACUUUAUCCAUGCAGCUCAUGGGAAGGGACGGCACAAAUGUGAGGCGUGAACAGGGAGCUGGCCUCAGCCCAUCACUGCAGUGUCACAGCAGACUGGCCCCAGGAGGUGAGGUGAGUCACCCAGCCUGCAAGAGGACCAUACGGUGGCUAGCUGAAUUUCAAAUCCUUGCCUGAUGCGUUUGUGAAGAUGCUUUGCUGUUUUCCUGGGGAAAUGCACUAAAUAGAGAAAAUGAUAAAAUAUAAACAGGGUUUAAUUGAGCCUUGACUGUAAUUAUUAAUCUUGUGAUUUUCAGAUAGAGUUGUUCAUGUGAAGAAGCAGAAGGAACAUGGCAGAAAGGAUCAAGUGCAAAAUGCUUGGUGUAGACUAAAACUACAAAAUCUGCUCAAAGAAAGCAUUCAGUCUGCUCAGAAAAGGACUCACUUGUCAUUUCAUUAGCAAUCUCAAUCCCAAACACCACUAAAGAGCUACCUGGGACACUUAGGACAUUUGUUUCUGCCCGGAGCGAGACAGGCUUCAAAGUACCAUUACUUGAAUUUAAUAUAAAGAAGUCCAAAUUCUAUUCUCAAAUUUUAUUUUGAAAGUGACAUUUUGAAGUCUUUCACAUGAUAGACACAAAUUAACAUUUCUAACAAAA